GUCCCUUGUAGCGCAAUGGAUAGCGCGUUGGACUUCUAAUCCAAAGGUCGUGAUUUCGAAUUCCACCUUGGAUG
rnacentral:tRNA from 1 species